rnacentral:rRNA from 1 species
AACGAACGCUGGCGGCAGGCCUAACACAUGCAAGUCGAGCGAGGACUUCGGUCCUAGCGGCGGACGGGGGAGUAACGCGUGGGAACGUGCCCUUUGCUUCGGAAUAGCCCUGGGAAACUGGGAGUAAUACCGGAUGAGCCCUUUGGGGGAAAGAUUUAUCGGCGAAGGAUCGGCCCGCGUUGGAUUAGGUAGUUGGUGGGGUAAUGGCCUACCAAGCCGACGAUCCAUAGCUGGUUUGAGAGGAUGAUCAGCCACACUGGGACUGAGACACGGCCCAGACUCCGACGGGAGGCAGCAGUGGGGAAUCUUAGACAAUGGGGGAAACCCUGAUCUAGCCAUGCCGCGUGAGCGAUGAAGGCCUUAGGGUUGUAAAGCUCUUUCAGCUGGGAAGAUAAUGACGGUACCAGCAGAAGAAGCCCCGGCUAACUCCGUG